UACGAAGGGUGCAAGCGUUACUCGGAAUUACUGGGCGUAAAGCGUGCGUAGGUGGUGAGUUAAGUCUGAUGUGAAAUCCCCGGGCUCAACCUGGGAAUGGCAUUGGAUACUGGCUCGCUAGAGUGCGGUAGAGGGUGGUGGAAUUCCCGGUGUAGCAGUGAAGUGCGUAGAGAUCGGGAGGAACAUCUGAGGCGACGGCGGCCACCUGGAUCUACACUGACACUGAGGCACGAAAGCGUGGGGAGCAAACAGG
rnacentral:rRNA from 1 species